AUACGGAGAGUGCAAGCGUUGUUCGGAAUCAUUGGGCGUAAAGGGCGUCUAGGUGGACUGUCAAGUCAGGUGUGAAAUCCCUCGGCUCAACCGAGGCCGUGCAUUUGAAACUGGUAGUCUUGAGUACUGGAGGGGCUAGCGGAAUUCCUGGUGUAGAGGUGAAAUUCGUAGAUAUCAGGAGGAACACCAGUGGCGAAGGCGGCUAGCUGGACAGAUACUGACACUGAAGCGCGAAAGCAUGGGGAGCAAACAGGAUUAGAUACCCCGGUAGUCC
rnacentral:rRNA from 1 species